GAUGAAGAACGUAGCAAAAUGCGAUAAGUAAUGUGAAUUGCAGAAUUCAGUGAAUCAUCGAAUCUUUGAACGCACAUUGCGCCCGCUGGUAUUCCGGCGGGCAUGCCUGUUCGAGCGUCAUUUCAACCCUCAAGCCCCCGGGUUUGGUGUUGGGGAUCGGCUCUGCCCUCUGGGCGGUGCCGCCCCCGAAAUACAUUGGCGGUCUCGCUGCAGCCUCCAUUGCGUAGUAGCUAACACCUCGCAACUGGAACGCGGCGCGGCCAUGCCGUAAAACCCCAACUUCUGAAUGUUGACCUCGGAUCAGGUAGGAAUACCCGCUGAACUUAAGCAUAUCAUAGCGGAGGA
rnacentral:misc_RNA from 1 species